GCUAGCCUGGUUGUUCGCUGCCCCGCUGGUCUCUGUCUCGCGGGACAUCGGAGCUCCGUUUGGGCAGAAGUCGCAAAGGACACUCGGUCUCUAGGAACAAAGACUGUGUGGCCUGAAGGAGGCCUUUGUGAUGUCCUCCAAGCCACCCAGGAGCAAGUCGGAAGAGAAAGGAGAAGGGAGGGGGUCAUUCUCCAGCUGAUGGGGCACCUCUGACCCUUCAACCCAAGAGAAAACUUAAGAGUGUGGGCCUGACUGAGCCCACGGAACUCCAUUCCAUCUUGACUUAAGGUCAGAAAGUUCAAGCUUGUUCUUGCUCUUCAAGGUCAAAUAACAGGAUGUCUGACCAAAGGUA